UACGUAGGGUGCAAGCGUUAAUCGGAAUUACUGGGCGUAAAGCGUGCGCAGGCGGUUAUGCAAGACCGAUGUGAAAUCCCCGGGCUUAACCUGGGAACUGCAUUUGUGACUGCAUAGCUGGAGUACGGUAGAGGGGGAUGGAAUUCCGCGUGUAGCAGUGAAAUGCGUAGAUAUGCGGAGGAACACCGAUGGCGAAGGCAGUCCCCUGGACCUGUACUGACGCUGAGACGCGAAAGCGUGGGGAGCGAACCGG
rnacentral:rRNA from 1 species